rnacentral:rRNA from 1 species
AAUCAACGCUGGCGGCGUGCCUCAGACAUGCAAGUCGAACGAUUAAAGCUCCCUUCGGGGAGUGCAUAAAGUGGCGCACGGGUGAGUAACACGUAAGUAAUCUACCUUCGAGUGGGGAAUAACGUUCGGAAACGAACGCUAAUACCGCAUAAUGCAGCGGCAUCUAUGAUGACAGUUGUUAAAGAUUUAUCGCUUGAAGAGGAGCUUGCGGCAGAUUAGCAGUUGGUAAGGUAAUGGCUUACCAAGGCUACGAUCUGUAUCCGGUCUAAGAGGACGGUCGGACACACUGACACUGAAUAACGGGUCAGACUCCUACGGGAGGCAGCAGUCGGGAAUUUGGGCAAUGGGCGAAAGCCUGACCCAGCAACGCCGCGUGAAGGAUGUAAGUUUUUCGG